rnacentral:RNase_MRP_RNA from 1 species
UCCUCGCUCAAAGAAUCGCAUUCAAAGCUCACACACAGAAUAUCUACCCGGUAUUCUCCUUCCUCCUACCAGAGGAACCUAGCUUUGGGAGAAAGUCCCCGGACACCCUGCCCGAUUCUUUGGAUCCGUGGCAGGCAAUGCGGAAACGCGCCGCCAUAGAAGCAAUUUGAUAGCGGCUGACUGCCCUACUCCCUCCCGGCGCCCGUGCCUAUAUCCUACGCCCUUCGCGGUGGAAACAAUGGUGGUAUAGCGGGGUGUCGGAGAGGGGUUGUUUCAUUGGGUUGCCUUUCGUCGUGUUUGGAUAGUCAUGCGAUUGCCCUGAUCCUCCUUUGGGAGGAUCGGGUAACUCAAUGGGGCUCAUUCUUGAGGCGAGG